rnacentral:ncRNA from 1 species
GGAAUCUGUGAUGAGAUUGGGCAGAAGUCAGCAGAGGCCAUAGUAGCCAAACGGUCGGGGUAAUGCCCGGCACAGGGUGAAGGGC